UGCUCCUGGGGAUGGUAUUACCGCAGUGCGUUUGCAGCUGCCGCCAUGCCAUCUCUCCCAGCAGUGCCAGUCGCUCACUGGGGGCUGGGGAGCGCCGCACAUCGGGGUGCUCUUGGGAUGCGCCUGGGUGCCGGGGCCCAGCCGCCCAAGCGCCUCCAUCGGGCGAGGGCUGUGUUCCCUCGGCAGAAUAAGUGAGAUGCUUCGAAGUGUAACCGUGCUGGAGGAGUUAUUACCGGGUGUAGCCCUGCAGCGACGAAGCGACCAGCCUCAGGCACCACCUUGGACUGAGACCACGCUGCGUUUCCUAUGCUGCCCUUGAGGAGCUGGGAUGGAUAAGGAUCAUCGCUCUGCCACAGCAGCAACUGCCUGUCGUUACAGAUUUAGCGCCAUCGAAGGAGUCCGGGGUAUUAAGCGGGAAGAAUGAGAAGUACAUUACCCGGCAUGCUACUGAAGUGGACCUUGGUAAGGAGGGUGGGAGCGGGACCCUGUCCUGAUGAGCUGGCACAAGGAGUGAUGGAGGAGUCUGCAGGGUCUCCCAUCCCGCCCACACUUCAGCAAGGCUUAUUCUCUGACAGCGCUCCUGCACAGGCCCGCUGCCAACAUGGGCUUCAGCUCAAGGCAGCCACUGCCCGUUUCAUCUCCACAGACCCAGCAGCAGCCCCAGACGCCUGUUAAAGGCUGGAGAGCACCACAGCAGCACCCACGGUACCCAAGCAUCCCGUGGCUGGGCAAGCACCGACGGUCUGGCAGACAGGCUGAAGACCCGUCCCUGUGGCGUGUCCCUUGCACAACUUCACCGGGACGAAGUGCAGCGCAGGGGUCACCGCGUGUUUCUCCAAGAUGCCCUUCAGAGGCCCAGAGUGAGAGACAUCUAAAAUUCAUAAAUGUCAAGGAGGAAAGGAAGCGAGGACAACUAAAUAUAGAUAUCCAAGCACCUCCUGUAAGGCUACAAAAGCAGCAUGAUAUACGCAGCCUAAAAGACUUCUUGGACUUGAGCUUGGCAAAGCAUUUAAGGCCAGCCUGGUGACUGGGGACCCUGGCGUUUUGCGUGGGAAACUUCGCUGUUUACUUCGCCAUUCCGCUUCAAGGGGAGCAAAAACGGGUCCUGAAAUAUCUGGGUGUCCUGUGGAAAGGAGAUGCUGGUUUUUCAAAAGGGAAUUGCGUAGCAGAAGUACCUGAAACCCAAAAAGAAAUCCAGGGUUGUCAGAGUCUUCGGUAUCUCUUUUAAUUGUUACUCUGGUGGGAUUUUCUCAGAGAUUAUAUUUCCACAGUGAUAACUGUUAUCACUUUAUUUUAUAGUCCCGGCUAUUUGCAAGCUGGGAAUGAGCAGCGUUGGUGUCGAGCAGAGUUUCCAGGACAUGUUGAAAAGCAGAAAGCGCUGGCUUUCAUCUGCCCCGCUUACAAGGAGCACAACGUUUUCCCCAGUGCUUGCAUCCCAGUCCUGGCUUCCCGCGACCUUACGGCCAUCCCCUGCAAAGGCUGAACUCUGAGGAGGCACUGAAGUUGGCCAGGCAACUGGUGUGCUUCAUGCCCAAAUGCCGUGCUAGGGCAGCGCCUGGGAGCUGCAGAGCUGGCUGCCUCGCAGCGCUUGCAGGAUCCGGCCCUUGUAAGUUAUAUGGCAAUAGAGCGAGGGAAAUGGGAUGCCAGGGACAGCUCGCUGCAAAGCACAGCCCGUGUCUCUCUAGUCCCAUAAUUUUUGUUGGGAAGUUUUAUCUUUUUAAUUUGUUACAUAUCAUGCAUCGUCUGAUUAAUUAUUGCUUCUCUGCAGGGAGGACGAGAGUUUAUAGAGCAAUAUAGCAUUAGUGUUAGCUUUAUACACCCUCAAAGCCCAGAGGAAGCUCAGCAGAGUACUUAUGCGAUGUUCUGUCGAUAAUAAUGACUCAGCAUUUGGCCGGUUCGUGGGUAUAUCAGAAGCGCUUUAUUAAAACGUACACAGUAUAUGCAUCGAACAUAAAUACAGCCGAGAGAUGCGGAGCGUGCCGUGCCGCAUACAUAUCAGUCGGUGCCUACGCUGGGGCAGCCUCGCCGGGAGAGCUCGGGGCUGGAGCCGCUCGCUGGCACAGCCCUGCCUGCCUCUGCCUCUGCCUCUCCCUGCCUGCUCCGUGAAUCCCCAGCAAUGCAGGAGUUUAAUUGCCACGGUGGUCUGGGAUGCAUUGAGCUGCUCGGCAUGUCCUUCAGCUCCGUGAAUGCAGAAAUAGCCACAAUAAAACUCCAUUUACAGCCACAUCUCUCCAUCGGCUGAGCAAGAGCCCUCUCCCUGAAGAAGGCUGCCCAUCCAGCAAACGAUAUUAAGGAGGGUGUAUAACUGAUUGGGGAAGGUACUGCAGCAGGACUAACAGCAACGAAAUGCAGUUGAACAUUUCCAGUGCUGAGUAAACCAUGUGUCUUCAUAAUUUGAUUGUGCCCGGGUCCCCCAGGUACCUCCCAGCUCUAUUGAACACCGAUGGAGUUAUUUAGAAUCAUAAAUAAUAUUACCAAAGAGGGUCUGCUGGGUAAACAGAGUCGGUGUAUAAAUUGUCGGCGCGCGAUAUUGAUUGUUCUGAGCUGACUAAUGAAUUAUUCUGUUUAAGGGGCCGGGGAAAUAACGCUCGGUGUUUUCAAGGCAAGGGCCCUUUGAAGAAUUUCCCCCCGGCCCUGGGCUUUGUUGUCCCGGCCACCGCAGGCACCGAGCGUGGGCUGCCGGCAAUCGCCCCACCGCCAGCCUGCGCGGCACAGCCGGCAGACCCCUCAGCGGUGUGCAGCUGGGACGAGCGGGCAGGGAUGCAUUAACGGCGGGAGCUUGUCACAGGCAAUUCGCAAAACAUUCCCCUAACCUUUGAUCCUACUAGCUUCAUCCUUUCCUCCUUGUUUCUCAUCUUCCCUUCUUCCUUCCGUCUUUACACAGCGUCUUGCGCAGAAGGGACCUGAUGCGAGAUUUGUGGCUGCUCUUAGAGGUGCACCAGGAGCCUUGCUGUUGCCCUGGCCCUGUGCCAGCCAGCCAAGGCUUCCCACCACCUUCCCACCUCCUUCCUGGACCGAAUGCUUUUCCCCACAUGCAGUGAACCUGGGCGCUUCUCCCACCUGUUGGCAUUUUGCUUUUUUUUGGGCUGGUGUCUGCUUAAAUGGGGUUUUUCCCCGGAGAUGUAUUAGCUGCCUUAAGCCCUGCCCCAGGACGAGGAGAAAUGAGCCAUCCUUUUUAACAGAACGUGCUUUUUUUCUCCUCACCUGCAUAAUACGUUCUGUUAAAUUUAUAGUUUUCCAAUCCCUUUGAUGUAGGGGACUCAAAACACUUCCUCACUAAUCUCACACAGCAGUGCCUGAAACGCUGAAGGCGCUGGCGGGGGAUAUGGCAGGGAACCAGACAACAAUUAUUGGCGUUUUGGGGGCUGGGGCAGCAUUAAGAGACAGCUAAUUUUAAAAUAAAUUAUACCAUUAAACCGCUUUUGGUUUUUUUUUCCCCCUGCUUUUUGUGCUACAGGCUCACCAGAGAAGAGGCAAAGCUGGAGCACCCCGGCAGAAUGGCCACGCUGGCUACAGAGGAGCUCACUGGGGGUUUGCGGGCAGGAGGAAGAGGAGGGCAGCUUUGUCUGGGAACAAGCCCCUGCACUGGGCGAAUGCACUUGCCCACCAACCAUACCAAAUACUUGUACAGGGAUUGACCCAUUCAAGCCGGUCACGCAAACCUCCCUCGCAAGGCAUUUCCUGUUUAGUAAUCAGUAACCUGCACACUCCACACCUUGCUUCCAUCUUACGUUUGGCAUGCAUUUGUCUUAAGUUAUUCGAAGUUGAAAGCAAAGAAAAAUGGUACUGUAAUUCUGCCUGCCACCAAUUCAAAGAUUUGGGGCUUUUGCCAGAGGAAGAGGAGUGACAAAAUGUAUGUGACGUAGGGCCCCGCAUCUGGAAGGUACCUUAAAGCUUUACAAAGAAGCUUUGCAUAGAGAGUAAUUUGCUGUUAGGAAAAAGCUGAAUUGCUAGAAUAGCAUUUUCCUGCCGCCGGCCCUGCCCGAGCUGGUGCCCAUAUGAGUGCUGUGCCGCGUGCUGGGCUUUGGGGAAGAGCGGUGGCAGCUGCCUUCCCUUCCAAAGGGGGACGCGAACUGAGACGCCGGCCUGUCGCCGGAGCCUCUUCCCCAGGAAUGUGGCUGCAGCUGCUGUUCUGAGGGCAGAACUUUGGCUCCCCGUAAUUAAUACUGAUUUUGCCGUAACACCUUGUAUUUUAGCGCAUUAUCUUUCCUCUUUUCCACCCUUUGAGCUGUGAUUGCUACUCCACUUUAUAAAGGAAGCCCCGUUAUUUUCCCUCACAAAUAGAGCGGGGUCAAUUUUCAUAGCCCCUUUGCCACUCCAUUAAGCAUUACUGAAUUCACCACUUCUCACCGAUACGGCAGUAUUUCUGUCUCUGCUCGCUUUUCCUUUCUUCCUAAAGCUUAGGAAGACACUUGCUCAUAACCGUGGGUUUAGUAUCCAAGAGACCCAACCAUUUGCUGAAACUUCAGCAAAAGUUUAAACAUUGCCACGUCUUUACCAAUGGGCAGGAUUAGCCACAGCCCUGGCUUAGCAUCUUCCCAGAAGUCAAGUGAGCUUGUUCUCUGGAUGGGCUUCAUUUAGUUACUGAAGGUCUUAGGGACUCCUUAAGGAUGUUUGCCCAUCAGCUGGGAUCAGAGAAUGCGGUUCUCUCCCACAAAGGGCUUUGCGCUGUGGAAGCGCGUGCAAGCCAGGCUCCGGAGCGGGAUGCCUGGGACCACGCUGGACUGCAGGAGCAUGUUCUCACGGGAGCCUGGCUGGAUGAGCGUGCGUGUUUGCUCUGGGUGCGCAAGGAUGGGAAGGAGUUAAACCCAGCCACCCCAGGACCUUCAUGUCCAGCAUGAUUCAGGCCAUUUAAUUAGUGUCCCAUGCUUGGCAUAUUCGAUAGUGUUUUCCCCCCAGGGAGAAGCGCACCAGCUCACAUAUAUUGCCUGUUAUCUUUCAAGUACUCAGAGCAGAAUGCUUUUUCAGUAACCUCAUCAAAGGAUAAGCCAGGAUUCAGAUAAGCUUUUCAAGGAGGAAGUCAGGGUUAUAAUUUUCAGAGACUUCUGAAUGUCACCUCCAAUUUUCGGCUCCGCCGUUGGAGCGGCCGUUUUUGGAAGCCACCCAGCCUCAGAUAUUGAAAUGGGUGACCUGUGGACUCAGGCCUCCUCAGUUCCUGGUCAUCGUCAGUCUGGCAGAUCCUGGAGUUGAAAGUGCUUGAGAUUUCUGACUUUAUAAUAACGCGGUUUCUCAGAAGUGCAAAUUACAGAGGAAUUGGUGCUAAACUCCCCAUUAACUAUGGAGCCCGAGAAAUCCUCAGUGUCCCAAAUUACCUGUCACUUUCUCUGUAACACGGCAUAAUUCUGUCGCUUAAAAAAAAAAAAAAAGUGGCCAUCAUUUGACAUUUCAGUGAAAUUCCUAAUUGACUGCGCAGCUUGCUUUGCAAGCGGGCCA